rnacentral:piRNA from 1 species
UGGAAGGUACAUGGUGCAACCCCUGAUC